CAACGUUUCAGUCCCACCAAGAGGACUUUCAUCAGGAUCAUAAAAAUAUUUUUUUUUUAUGAUCCUGAUGAAAGUCCUCUUGGUGGGACUGAAACGUU